UCUUCAUAUAGUAAGUUUUACUAACCGUCGAAGUUUGAAUCGUAAAAUGUUAAUAUAUUUAGUUGGGGUGACACGAAGUCGUAAACACUUUUUAUUACACAAAAAUUUAAGGACAGAUGACCCGGUUAGCCGAUCAAAAAAUUAAGU
rnacentral:rRNA from 1 species